AACCUCUCAGAGUCGCACCUGGAGAGUUUCCAGUAUUCUACCAGUCUCAACUACGGGAAGGAGAGUCGAGCAAAGGCAUUUCCAUUCCUAGCUUGGGCAGUGGCUAGUGAGUGGAAGGCAAUCUGCUACAAGU